UCCCUUAACCUAAAAAAUCUUUUUUCUUAACUCUAGACCUACAAAACCUAAAAGGACCCUAGACCUAGACCUUCUACAGCCCUGUAGAGAACAGAGCCCCCCCCCCUCCGGGCCUGAAAUUCAUCUUCUUCACCCCACUCCAAUCGACCCGACCACCACCCUUUACCAAACUCGCCGGAACCCAGCCAAAGAUAGCAAAACCCCCUCCCUCACAAGAAAUCAUCAGCCGAAAAAGACCAAAAACAAGGACCCCUCACUAUCGAUCUUCUUCAACCGACUACAGCUGAAGCUUAGUUAUCUUCCUUGAAGAAAAAUGGACGAACCCUAAAGAACCUAGCAGUGAUUCUCACCCUCGUUCCUUUAUUUUUACCCCUCGUUUCUCUCUCUCCUAUUCUUAGUUGCUAUUGCGCGUCACCCGACUAUCAUCUUCGAUUUCGAUGGCAUUAGCUCACCGAAUAUGGAUGCCAGGGUUUGGUUUUAGAUUUACAGGCAGCUUUGUUCCUUGUUGUUCAUCAUUUUUUUUUGUUUUGAAAACUCAUAAUGGGCAAAUUGGCUUGAGAAGAGAAAAAUAGAGCACAACUUAGGAUAGAGAGAGAGAGAGAGGGUAAUGACCAGAUCUGGAUUCAAAGUGAUAAGUUUUGAUUGAGUCAAGUUUGUCGUAGUUGUUACUCGUUGUUCAAGUUUAGAUCGAGGUUCCGUCACCGGCGAGAUUAAGCCACUGAUUUUGGAUGAUAUCAUAAUCUUGACGCAAAGUGUUCUAAUUACAGAAUUAUAGGCUUAUAGCUUCAAUUGAGGUUCUAUUGCUGUGCUUGUUUUUCGAUCAAGUUCAAAUGUCGGAAUUCUCAUUAAUUUGUAAUCGUCGGAGAUUCAAAUAUAUUUGAAAACGAUUCAAGUCCCUCUUCCCUCCUUUUCUUUGUUGCUUGCGAUGUUACUCUCGUGGUUAUGAUUGAAAUAUGUGGCUGGACUAUUCUUCUUUGUUGGUUGAAUGUGGUGCUGAAUGUCUGAAGUUUCAU
rnacentral:lncRNA from 1 species